AGGUGGUUAGUAUAAAAAUAUACUUGAUUUCGGCUCAAGAGCUUGUGGUGAAAACCCACAACCACCCG
rnacentral:tRNA from 1 species